GAUGAACGCUAGCGGCAGGCUUAACACAUGCAAGUCGAGGGGUAGGGUUCUUCGGAACCUGAGACCGGCGCACGGGUGCGUAACGCGUAUGCAAUCUACCUUUUUACAGAGGGAUAGCCCAGAGAAAUUUGGAUUAAUACCUCAUAGUAUAUAGACCUGGCAUCAGGAUUAUAUUAAAGUCACAACGGUAAAAGAUGAGCAUGCGUCCCAUUAGCUAGUUGGUAAGGUAACGGCUUACCAAGGCUACGAUGGGUAGGGGUCCUGAGAGGGAGAUCCCCCACACUGGUACUGAGACACGGACCAGACUCCUACGGGAGGCAGCAGUGAGGAAUAUUGGACAAUGGGCGCAAGCCUGAUCCAGCCAUGCCGCGUGCAGGAUGACGGU
rnacentral:rRNA from 1 species